rnacentral:rRNA from 1 species
AUUGAACGCUGGCGGCAGGCCUAACACAUGCAAGUCGAACGAGUGGCGGACGGGUGAGUAAUGUCUGGGAAACUGCCUGCUGGAGGGGGAUCACUACUGGAAACGGUAGCUAAUACCGCAUACCAUCGGAUGUGCCCAGGUGGGAUUAGCUAGUCGGUGGGGUAAAGGCUCACCUAGGCGACGAUCCCUAGCUGGUCUGAGAGGAUGACCAGCCACACUGGAACUGAGACACGGGCCAGACUCCUACGGGAGGCAGCAGUGGGGAAUAUUGCACAAUGGGCGCAAGCCUGAUGCAGCCAUGCCGCGUGUAUGAAGAAGGCCGUCGGGUUGUAAAGUACUUUCAGCGGGGAGGCGUUACCCGCAGAAGAAGCACCGGCUAACUCCGUGCCAGCAGCCGCGGUAAUAC